AUUGAACGCUGGCGGCAGGCCUGACACAUGCAAGUCGAGCGGAUGAAGGGAGCUUGCUCCUGGAUUCAGCGGCGGACGGGUGAGUAAUGCCUAGGAAUCUGCCUGGUAGUGGGGGAUAACGUCCGGAAACGGGCGCUAAUACCGCAUACGUCCUGAGGGAGAAAGUGGGGGAUCUUCGGACCUCACGCUAUCAGAUGAGCCUAGGUCGGAUUAGCUAGUUGGUGGGGUAAAGGCCUACCAAGGCGACGAUCCGUAACUGGUCUGAGAGGAUGAUCAGUCACACUGGAACUGAGACACGGUCCAGACUCCUACGGGAGGCAGCAGUGGGGAAUCUUGGACAAUGGGCGAAAGCCUGAUCCAGCCAUGCCGCGUGUGUGAAGAAGGUCUUCGGAUUGUAAAGCACUUUAAGUUGGGAGGAAGGGCAGUAAGUUAAUACCUUGCUGUUUUGACGUUACCAACAGAAUAAGCACCGGCUAACUUCGUG
rnacentral:rRNA from 1 species